rnacentral:rRNA from 1 species
UGGCGAACGGGUGAGUAACACGUGGGCAAUCUGCCCUUCACUCUGGGACAAGCCCUGGAAACGGGGUCUAAUACCGGAUAAUACUCUGUUCCGCAUGGAACGGGGUUGAAAGCUCCGGCGGUGAAGGAUGAGCCCGCGGCCUAUCAGCUUGUUGGUGGGGUAAUGGCCUACCAAGGCGACGACGGGUAGCCGGCCUGAGAGGGCGACCGGCCACACUGGGACUGAGACACGGCCCAGACUCCUACGGGAGGCAGCAGUGGGGAAUAUUGCACAAUGGGCGAAAGCCUGAUGCAGCGACGCCGCGUGAGGGAUGACGGCCUUCGGGUUGUAAACCUCUUUCAGCAGGGAAGAAGCGCAAGUGACGGUACCUGCAGAAGAAGCGCCGGCUAACUACGUGCCAGCAGCCGCGGUAAUACGUAGGGCGCAAGCGUUGUCCGGAAUUAUUGGGCGUAAAGAGCUCGUAGGCGGCUUGUCACGUCGGAUGUGAAAGCCCGGGGCUUAACCCCGGGUCUGCAUUCGAUACGGGCUAGCU